UACAGAGGGGGCCAGCGUUAUUCGGAAUUAUUGGGCGUAAAGAGCGCGCAGGCGGUCGAUCAAGUCGCGUGUGAAAGCCCCCCGGCUCAACUGGGGAGGGUCACGCGAUACUGAUCGACUCGAAGGCAGGAGAGGGUAGUGGAAUUCCCGGUGUAGUGGUGAAAUGCGUAGAUAUCGGGAGGAACACCAGUGGCGAAGGCGACUACCUGGCCUGUUCUUGACGCUGAGGCGCGAAAGCUAGGGGAGCAAACGGGG
rnacentral:rRNA from 1 species